rnacentral:lncRNA from 1 species
UUUAGCUUUUCUCUCUUUCCUUUUUUCUUUAAAUUUUAUUUUCUUGCCUUAAUUAUCCUACUCAUUUCUUACUAAUUAUCAUAGACAAUCUCUUCCCUAAUUACUCAAAUCAUAAAGUAUUUCUUCUCUUAAAGAACGAAUUUUAGCAGAAGAUUUGGGUACGAAUCUCUUUGGAGAAUCAGUCUAUGUUCAAGAUGUCACCAUAUAGUUAAGAAUUUCGAAUUUCUCGCGAGUUUCACUCUCUCUAUUAUCAAGUUUGAUUUGAUAUAAUUUUUUCAGAGAAUCUCAAUCUUGUAAGUUUCUUUCCUUCUUGACAUGAUUUCUUGCUCUAAUUAUAUAGUGGUCGAAUUUGACAUAUACUUUUUUAUAUAUAGAAAGAAUCACAUUUUUCCCAAAGUUGUGGCCUCCGAUUUCUGCUAAUUGAUUAUGUCAAACACUAAUUUUUAGCCUUAAUUUCUGUUCUUUUAACUUAGAGCAUUAAUAAUUUUUUAGCUAUAAGUACUACUAUUGUUAAGGCAGUGGAGGGAGGCUUUUGAUCACUGCUUUAACCUCUGCUUCACUGCUACUAUAGUUUUUUUUUUCUUUUCGCUACUUCUAUGCUUUGCCGACCAUAAGUCAAGGCAAAGCUUGGUUUUUUAAUUAGUUUGAUACAAUCUGGAUGUAUCGAAUUCGAGUAUUGGUUUCUCAUUAUUGUUGUUCAAAUUUUCGCACGUAUUACUGCAUACUUUGGAGAGUAUCUGGCUUAUUUGUUGCUGUUGAAGUUAUUGGAUUUCUAAUCUUCUUAUUAUAUUGUUAUUCCGCUCUCCAACUGGUUAGUUCCGUGAACGACGCAUCAUAAUUUCUUUAUGUUAAUUGUAUGGUAGAAUAGACUAGUUUUUUGUCCUCUGCUCUCUUAAAAUUUUCGUCUCUUUUAUUCUAUUUGUGCGCUGUAUUUGCUAUGUGCGUUUGUUGCUUCUGUUCGGUUGUAGGGGCCUAGACUUGACAAUUUUGGCCAAAGUUCAACUCUUCACACCUGAGUUUGGAGUAACAGGGGGAUUAGGAAAGCUCAUAAGAGUCUAUGAGGAGUCUGCCAAAGUUUGAAGUUCAGUUAGUUAAUUUCCUAGACUAUAGUUAUAAGCUUUAUUCAGAUAGCAUGUAAUAACUGAAUGUAAUAGUGAAACGAGGCUACUUGGGAUAAGGGAUAUUUGAUGCUUGUGUACUAUGUGAUUACCUGCUGUUAUUUGCUUUCAUUUCUUCUUGAAAACCUGUUAACACGUUAAAUUGGAUAGCUUUUGCAUUUGAGCUUUCUGUGGUGUCUUGGUCCUUAAUAAAGUUUUCUUACUAGUAUGUUGGGCUCACUUUAAAAGAUAAAGAUUGUAAGUUUUUGCACGAAAGGGUAUUUUCGUAUUGUGAGGAUGAGUGAUAGUGCAGGAUGGGUGUUUUCAUGCUAUGAGGAUGAGUGAUAUUGCAGGAAGAGUAUUUCCAUGCAGAUGAGGAUUAGAGAUAUUAGCACGAUGGGUAUUUCCAUGCGUUUUGAUAUGAUAUUAGCACGAUGGGUGUUUCCAUGCAAUAUGAUAUAAUAGUGGCAUGAUGGGUAUUUCUGUACAGUGAGGAUGAGAGUUCAUGUACGAUGAAUGCUUCAGUGCAGGCGAAGAUGGGAGUCAUGCAUUAUAUUAUGUUUAUUCCUCAUAUACACAUAUAUUUAUCCUACCUUAUUUGUUACUAUUACAUAUACGCAUCCUACCUUGUUUGCCACUGUUACAAUAUAUGUAUCCUACCUUUAUUGCUAUUGUUACAUAUAUGCAUCCUACCUUUAUUGCUACUGUUACAUAUAUGUAUCCUUCCUUAUUUGUUAUUAUUACACAUAUGCAUCUUACCUUAUUUGUUACCGUUACAAAUAUGCAUAAUAAGGAUGAGAGUUAUUGGCACAUUAUUUUUUUGUGCAUGUGAGGGUUAGAGUUAUUGGCACGAUGAGUGUUUUCAUGCGAUGAGGAUGAGAGUUAUUAGCACAAUAGGUGUUUUUGUGUGAUUUGAUAUGAUUAUGACUCUUGUGUGGUCCUUUCAGUGAUAUGAUUAAUUAUAUGAGUUUUGGUCAUGCAUUAACAUUUCAUAUUCAUGUAGACGCAUUCAUAUAAAUGCUAUUUGAAAGUUGAUGUGAAAUUGAAUCUUGUACCCACAUACACAGUCUAUAUUCACGUAGAAGUAUUCGAGUAAAUAUUACUUGGUAUACAUCUCCUUUGUAUAUGGAUUUGGUACAUUCAUAUAUGCUUUUGACCUGUUUAUUUAUAAUAAAAAAAACAUGUUGUUAUCUUCUUCCUUCAAUGUGCACCUUCUUGUUGAUAUCCGCUAUUUAUUAGCUAUUUCUUGGCUAUUUUUUGUUAUUGUAUACCGCUUAUGAGCUGCACAUGUUACACAAAGUGAGUAUCUUUUGUCUAAACCUCGCUAAUAUUUUGCUGAGGUCACUUAAGAUACUUACUGAGUAUAUUGGAUUGGUUCUACUCAUACUACACUUCUACACCUUAUAUGCAAAUUUUGGAGCUAAGCGGCUACAAAGUUCGAGGAUGUACAUCGAAGACUUCAACGUUCCAGUCUUUAACUACCAUCUUGUUCAUGGUAGUUUAGAAUUAUUUUCUGUUUAUGUAUAUUCAAACAUAUGAUGUAUUUCUUCUUGCCAACGUUGUAAAUUCCAAAUCUUAGUUGCUCAUGACUUGUACUAUCAAUUCUUAAGGAUAGUUAUAUUAAUUUCUACAUUCUUAUUUCUUUAUUUAUCGAUGAUUAUCAUUUAGGAUGAUGAUAUAUAUUAAUUAGC